rnacentral:rRNA from 1 species
UAGGGAAUCUUCCGCAAUGGGCGAAAGCUUGACGGAGCAACGCCGCGUGAGUGAUGAAGGUCUUCGGAUCGUAAAACUCUGUUAUUAGGGAAGAACAAAUGUGUAAGUAACUAUGCACGUCUUGACGGUACCUAACCAGAAAGCCACGGCUAACUACGUGCCAGCAGCCGCGGUAAUACGUAGGUGGCAAGCGUUGUCCGGAUUUAUUGGGCGUAAAGCGAGCGCAGGCGGUCAAUUAAGUCUGAUGUGAAAGCCCCCGGCUCAACCGGGGAGGGUCAUUGGAAACUGGUUGACUUGAGUGCAGAAGAGGAGAGUGGAAUUCCAUGUGUAGCGGUGAAAUGCGUAGAUAUAUGGAGGAACACCAGUGGCGAAGGCGACUCUCUGGUCUGUAACUGACGCUGAGGUUCGAAAGCGUGGGUAGCAAACAGG